GGCAGAUAUGACAAGACCUAUAGAAGAUCCACUUCCUUCUGAAGCAGCAGUUGGAGCCUUGCUGCUACACAUUUAAGCUCAGAUUGGAAGAUGAAAGUGGAUUCUUUCUUUUCCAUCUCCAGAUUGCCUUCUCAACCGUGAACUGAAAAAUCCAAAAUAAAGGACAUAUAAUGGAAAACAA